rnacentral:rRNA from 1 species
UACGUAGGGUGCGAGCGUUGUCCGGAAUUAUUGGGCGUAAAGAGCUCGUAGGCGGUUUGUUGCGUCUAUCGUGAAAACCUGCAGCUUAACUGUGGGCUUGCGGUGGAUACGGGCAGACUUGAGUUCGGUAGGGGAGACUGGAAUUCCUGGUGUAGCGGUGAAAUGCGCAGAUAUCAGGAGGAAUACCGGUGGCGAAGGCGGGUCUCUGGGCCGAUACUGACGCUGAGGAGCGAAAGCGUGGGGAGCGAACAGG